UACAGAGGUCCCAAGCGUUGUUCGGAUUCAUUGGGCGUAAAGGGUGCGUAGGUGGCGCGCUAAGUCAGGUGUGAAAUUUCGGAGCUCAACUCCGAAACUGCAUUUGAUACUGGCGUGCUUGAGGACUGGAGAGGAGACUGGAAUUCACGGUGUAGCAGUGAAAUGCGUAGAGAUCGUGAGGAAGACCAGUGGCGAAGGCGGGUCUCUGGACAGUUCCUGACACUGAGGCACGAAGGCCAGGGGAGCAAACAGGAUUAGAUACCCUGGUAGUCC
rnacentral:rRNA from 1 species